rnacentral:rRNA from 1 species
UAUUAGCUAGUUGGCGGGGUAACAGCCCACCAAGACGAUGAUAGGUAGGGGUUCUGAGAGGAAGGUCCCCCACAUUGGAACUGAGACACGGUCCAAACUCCUACGGGAGGCAGCAGUGAGGAAUAUUGGUCAAUGGACGAAAGUCUGAACCAGCCAAGUCGCGUGAGGGAAGACUGCCCUAUGGGUUGUAAACCUCUUUUAUAAGGGAAGAAUAAGUUCUACGUGUAGAAUGAUGCCUGUACCUUAUGAAUAAGCAUCGGCUAACUCCGUGCCAGCAGCCGCGGUAAUACGGAGGAUGCGAGCGUUAUCCGGAUUUAUUGGGUUUAAAGGGUGCGUAGGCGGUUUAUUAAGUUAGUGGUUAAAUAUUUGAGCUAAACUCAAUUGUGCCAUUAAUACUGGUAAACUGGAGUACAGACGAGGUAGGCGGAAUAAGUUAAGUAGCGGUGAAAUGCAUAGAUAUAACUUAGAACUCCGAUAGCGAAGGCAGCUUACCAGACUGUAACUGACGCUGAUGCACGAGAGCGU